CUAAGAAUAUUCCGCAAUGGGGGGAAACCCGUGACGGAGCGACGCCGCGUGGACGAGGAAGGCCGGAAGGUUGUAAAGUCCUUUUGAACCGGAAGAAUAAACAGUGCAGGGAAUGGCAGUGUGGUGACGGUACGGUUUGAAUAAGAGGCGGCUAAUUACGUGCCAGCAGCCGCGGUAACACGUAAGCCUCGAGCGUUGUUCGGAAUUAUUGGGCGUAAAGGGCAUGUAGGCGGUAAUCUAAGCUUGGUGUGAAAGGCAGGGGCUUAACUCCUGGACAGCAUUGAGAACUGGAUUGCUAGAGUUACUGAAGUGAAAUCAGAAUUCCAGGUGUAGGGGUGAAAUCUGUAGAU
rnacentral:rRNA from 1 species